AGGAUUAAUUUUUGAAGAUUGACUCCGGAAAUUAGUUCACAUGAAAGAAGAGCAAGGUACAAGGGUUGGGCCUUGUAGACUGUAACCGACAAGAAUCUCGAAGUAAAAUCUAUUUAAAGGAUCGAGACGAGUUAAGUCAAAGCAAAGCCAGAGGCUAUCUCCUAUCAUUAUCUCUUUCAAUUAUUUAUUUUUAUUGCUUUUUUAUUUUUAUUUAGUUUAUUCAAUUAAAUUAGAUAAACCACCAUUUUAUUUUAUUUUGCAAAUUUUCUGGUUAAAGAUCAAAUUAGAUUUAAUUAGAAAUUCCUUAGUCUUUGUGAAUCGACCCUAUU